rnacentral:rRNA from 1 species
UUCCUUUUGCAAAAAUAAUAGGUAGGCCCUGCCCAAUGAAGUUUAAAUGGCCGCUUCUGUGCUAAGGUAGCAAAAUAAAUUGCCACUUAAUUAGUGGCUUGUAUGAAUGGGUUAACAAAAAGAUUCCUGUCUCCCUUCUCUAACUAAAACCUAACCUUCAAGUGAAAAAGCUUGAAUCCCAAUAAAAGACAAAAAGACCCUGUCGCGCUUAAAAAAGAAUGCUUUUUUCAAAAACAGAAUUUUUUUAGUUGGGACGACUUCUGAUAACCUAAAACACCAGACUCUUUUAGUGAACAAGCCCUCUCUUUUAUGACCCUAUUAAGAUCAAGUGACUAGCAACCGCAGGGAUAACAGACUAAUUUUCUUAAUAGAGCCCAUAUCGACUAAGAAGAUUGGCACCUCGAUGUUGGCUUAGGGGAGCAGCUAGAUGCAGCAAUCUAGCCUGGAGGUUUGUUCAACCUGUAAAUCCCU